rnacentral:rRNA from 1 species
ACUCCUACGGGAGGCAGCAGUAGGGAAUAUUGCACAAUGGGCGCAAGCCUGAUGCAGCCAUGCCGCGUGUGUGAAGAAGGCCUUCGGGUUGUAAAGCACUUUCAGUCGUGAGGAAGGUAGUGUAGUUAAUAGCUGCAUUAUUUGACGUUAGCGACAGAAGAAGCACCGGCUAACUCCGUGCCAGCAGCCGCGGUAAUACGGAGGGUGCAAGCGUUAUCCGGAUUCAUUGGGUUUAAAGGGUGCGUAGGCGGAACGGUAAGUCAGUGGUGAAAUCCUGCAGCUUAACUGUAGAACUGCCAUUGAUACUGUCGUUCUUGAGUGCGCUUGACGUGGGCGGAAUGUGCCGUGUAGCGGUGAAAUGCUUAGAUAUGGCACAGAACACCAAUUGCGAAGGCAGCUCACGAAAGCGAAACUGACGCUGAGGCACGAAAGCGUGGGGAUCGAACAGGAUUAGAUACCCUGGUAGGCUCUG